CAGAAAGCAUAGUAUACAUAUAAAAUAUUGAUAAAGACUGAUAAAUGUCCAUUGGAGCAGGUAACAGAUGAAAUCAAAACAUCUAUUACGUAGGUUCGAGUGAUAUAAGAACUAAAGACGUCUAGUCUUCCAGAUAAUAGGAGGAAGAAGUACCAAAAGAGAGAGGGGGUGAAAGGGGGGGUGAUUAGGAAUGCUCAAAACAACACAUACCAAGAACAGAAAACAAUUUGGUUCCAGCACUUCAUGACACAAACUAGAGAGCUUCAUAAUAGAGAUACAGAGAUCAUGCCUGAAACUUAUCACUAAGUGUCAGAAUUCAGAUCAAUAUCUCAAGAAAUAAUAAUAAUAAUAAUAAUAAUAAUAAUAAUAAUAAUAAUAUCAUAUAAAAUAGGUGAGGAGCUGAGAGAGAGUUGCCCCUCCCCCACAGGGAAAACAACUGAACAUCUUUUCCUGCUGGAGCUCAUUCUCUCUCUCACAGCUCCAUCUGACUGGAGGAGCAGCAGUUCACAGCUGGACAUCAACUCAAGGGAGAGGUGUGAAAACAGGACACUCAUCCACAGUCAUCACCAGAUCUCGAAGCGCUUGUCUUUUCGGAAAGGCUCAAUAUCAGUAAUUCUGUUGUUGUGGAGUCUGAAGACACAACAAAGAUAUUCAAACUUUCAUUAAACAGCUGCUUUAUGCAGGUGUGGGAACAGCAGCUCUAGGCUGUGAUCAGUGAGCUGGCAGUGGCUGAGGUCCAGUUCAGACAGACCUUCAGAAAAUUCCAGAAACAAUGCUAGUGAUCUACAGGCAUUGAGGUCCAGAGGGGUCUCACUGAGGUCCAUCUCUUCAUCCAGCGCCUGGGAGAGGGACAUAGCAUGCCUCACACAGUCUGACUCAUUCACCACAUGAAGACGGGCCAGGAACCGGAGCAACAAAGGUUUACUACAGCUGAGUAAGGAUGAGAGAAAGAGAGACAGUUAAAACUUUUAAUAUACAGUCACACAUAUUCAAGUUAGUAAUUAGUCUCAAGUAGUCUCUAUGCAAUAAAGUGUACAAUUUCACUUUAGAGCUCAGUGGCAUUAAAAUACUGUAUGACUUCUACUGGACUGGUUAAAAAUAGAAAGUUGAUCUUAAACUGUACAACUUGGACAACCUGCCUAUGUGACUUAAUUGAAAAUGCAUCUUCUAGCCUGUAGCCACAGUGUCUAGACACAGUAGUUUGUCAUUCAGACUUGAGCAUUAUCCUGUAUGUGUGUCUCACCACAGUUUCACACUAUGUAGAAUGAGGAAGAGCAUGUCCACUCCAGUGUCCUCCAUCUCACAGUGCACUAGAAUGAGCUCUGUAUGUUGGAGAGAUUUCUGAAUGGCAGUGCUGAUGUCUCUGCAGUCCUCAGUGGUCAGAUGCAGAGUGUUAUCCUGUGUUUCUGUGGUCAGAUCCAAACCAGUGCUACAAGAGAAGUCCAGUCUGCUCUGCAGAGCAGAGAAAACUGCUGCUACUGCCCCCUGCUGGAUCUCAGAGAUACUGCAGCAGUGGAUCAACUUCAACAACAGGACCCUGUCAACACUGAGAGCAAGGAAAACAAGCAUUUUCUUUGUUACACUUAUGUAUUUUUUAAUUAGUGGUGCUUGAAAAGCACUACUAUUGUUCUUCGGCAUACUUAUUAUAAAUAUUAUUCUUCUUCUGCCACUUUUUUUUCGGCGCGUAACUAGUCCCGCACCGUUUGUCGGAGAUCGACGGGUGAGGUGUCAAAUCGAUCGGCUUAUUGAGUAGAGGUGUGCUAUGACUUUUGGUAGCGAUUGUAAUGUCGGCAUUUCCGGUACGGAAGCUCAAAGUCGGAAAAUUUCCCAUAGACUUGCAUUGAGUUUUGAAAGUAUUGGCACUCUAAAGAGAAAGCUCUAAAAGUUUUGCCUCCGUACACAUUCGGCUCUAAAAUGUAUUGGCACCUGAUCUGUUCGGCACUCAGAAGUAUUGGCACCCUAUCUGUCCGGCUCUCGAAAGUAUUGGCACCCUACGCGGGUCGGCUUUUGAAAGAAUUGGCGCCCCGUCCCAGUUUCGCCGCGUCAAGCACCACUCACAUUUUCUUCAGGAAAUGUACCGGUCUAGUUAUUACUGCAAUUUCUAUUACUCUAAAGUGGAUUGUGAACACUGAGUUACCUGAGCUGAGAAACUCUGUUGAACAGAGGGAGAAUCUUCACCAGCUCCCCCUCUGGUAUGGAGGUCCACAGCAGGCUCAGAGAGACAGAAGUACAGUGUUGGAGGGUGAAGCACAGGGCAGUACAGUGGUAAGAGUCCAGCUCUGUAUUGUUCAGGUUGAUACAGCUGUGUGUUGAACUCAACAGACUGGACACACAGUGAGCAGAGCCAGUCUCAUAGAUCUCUCUGAUGAUUGACAGCACAACACUGGGGUUCAAUCUGUAGAGGUUACAAUCACAUCCAUACAUAAAUUUAACGAUAAAUAUUAUUCUUCUGUUAAACCAAUACAGGAGAGGCAAUUCUUUUUAUUUAUUCCUUUUCUUUCCACAAGGUUUAUUAAUUAUUAAUAUUUAACGAUAUGAGCCUCUGAGUACUGAGUGUGGAUAUAUUAUUGUUCAACAUUGAAGAUAUGUCCAUUAAAUAAUGCAUUAAGAUAAUAGUGUAUCUGAUUAUCAUAAAUGUUUACGUGUGUCAUUAUUGGUGCAUUAAUAUGUGGUACAUUUCUAUUCCAGAAACCACACAUAUAGUAAAAGGUGUCUUUGGAAGCAAGAGUGCCUGAUCACAUGAUGUUGACUAAUAAAGAUGAUCAGACAGCCAUAAGAGUUGCUUCAUCUUGAAUCAGGCUCACAUUACUCAAACCGGUGUUCAUGUGGAUGUGACUUCAUCUAUUCUUUUACAUAGCUUUGAGUCUUUGGAACUUAACACAGACUCUGAAAGUGCAUUACCAAGCAAAAUUCACUAUACCUUAGUAUUACUGUUAUAAAAUUAUAAUUAGUUUCAGUUUCGGAAGGAUGUUAAUGAGUUAUGUACAGUAGGUAUCUAAUAUUGUUCAAUAGUACAUUAUUCAAAAGUAAGCAAAGAAACAUUUUAGAUGUAACCCACCUAAUAGUCUUAAAUUGCUACUCAACAUUUAAAGAUUAAGUAUGAAAGCAGAAAUUCUUUCAAAGGAGAUUACAUGUGUAUCUUCUUACCGUUUAAACUGAAUUUCAGACAGUAGAGGAAGAAUCUGUCUGGCAUGAUUAUAUGUGAUUUUGCUCUUUCUGAUGUUCGCACUAAUGCAGCAAACUCGCUGCUGGAGAAAAUAGAUAAGCUCCUCCCAACUGAGAGAACAGGAAGUCAGGUCUCCUCCCACCUUCUCCAGGAAAAAGCGGGUCAGUUCCCCAUCCUGCACCUCACACAGCAGACUGGUAAACUGCUGGAGAGUCUCUUUCGAUAAUCUACACACAUACAUGAUGUUUAUAGAUAAAAAAUAUUGACCAUUUUUAUAUGAUAAAGAUGUUCACUGUAAACUGACCUGAUCUUUAAAUUCCCAGCAUGACACAUGAGGCUGAUGAGAGAGUGAGCCUCCAUCCUGCACUCAGUGAGAUUCACACAGUGAACAGUCCAGAUGUUCAGGAGAGAAGACAAACUGCUCAGAAAUGUGAAGAUCUCUUUCUUUGGGUUUAUGCUGUUAAGCCUCAGACAGAGCUCCUCAAUGACCAACGAGCCACCAGCUCUCACUGCUCCAAAUGCUCGGACCAUCCUCCCUACCACACGGUCACUCAGGCUGACAAGCGUUCACCAAACACAUUCAUUAAAGGGGAUUUCAUGGUCCAGCUCAAUUUCACUCAUGCAUACUAAAGCUUAAUGAAGUUAUAUAACCUGGUGUGAAAAUUAAGAAACUGAUUAAUAACAUACCAGAGUUUCUGUAGGUGUGUGAUGUGUCUGAAGAGAAGUCUGGCCCCUCGGAGAGAGAUGGCUCGGGGUUUCAGAGUGAGUUUGACUUUGGAGUCUGAGAGACGUAGCACUUUCCUCACAGCCCUGCACUCACGAGUGGUUAAAACCCAGUCUAUAAUGAAGAUGAAGUCCAAGGCAGCAAAGAAAGCUCUCACCAACUUUGUAUCUUCUGCGCAGUCAACAACUGCUUUACUUAAACGUGGAAUGAACUCUUCUUCACAUCUAAAACAGACAGGAUUAAUGUAAAACUAUAAAUAGGACAUCUUCUAACUUAUUGUUCUUAAAAUUCCAUAAAUAACAUGUUAGAGGUGAUGCAGUGCUGCUAUAAAGUUUGUGAACCUUUUACAUUUUCUGCAUUUCUGCAUAAAUUUGAUCUGAAAUGUGAUCAGAUCUUCAUCUCAGUCAGAAAACUCAGUGCACCCAAUUAAAUAAACAAUGCAAAAACAGAAUUUUUUAUAUUUAUUUAUUGA
ensembl:lncRNA